GUGUUAGUGUGUGUGUGUGUGGUUUUUGUAGUUGGUGUUAUGUCUAUGUGAGUGAAACACAAUAAUUUGACAGAGCCCAAUUUGCCAAUUGAAAUAAACUAAGAAGAAAUGACAAUUGAAGUGUCUAUGUUCCUAGUCAGUGUAUUAUGUCCCGCAUAUUUUCCGUAUACCUCAAGUCUUCUCUAGAGUGUACUUCAUUUCCAGUAUUUAUUUGUGUGUACAGUUGUCCAUGAUAGUGCUUCAUCAAUUCAUGUUAUUUCCGAUCGGGAACGAAGGUUUCGGGCCCUCUUUCUGGCCCUCAAAAUGCAAAAUAUGGAAACAAACUCUAAUUCUCCGGCCGACCAGCCGACGAAUUUUCGUCCCGAGAAAUCUCCUCCAAUCGGUCAGCAUUCCCCACCCAUGAAUUAUGAAUCCCUGGAGAGAUUUUCCUGCAACACUCUAAAGCGAAAUCCAAAAAUGGAGUUAAGUAAACCUGAUCUUUUAAAAUUAUUGAGCUACUUUGAAGGGGAACUACAAGCUCGUGACAUUGUCAUUGCUACAUUAAAAUGUGAGAAAGUGAAGCAACUACUCACAGGAUCAAGACCAAUAGGCGUUGUAACAGCCAGUGAUCCACACAUUGCGCUUCAGCGGGACAAUUUUGCAGGCUCUAUCUCUUCUUCAAAUGAUGAAGCUCAAAUUUCUUCUCUUGCCGACCAGCAACUCAGUGCUUUGGAGAAUCUCAUCAUACAGCAAAAACUAUCUCAAAUUAGAAUCACAAAAGUAUUGAAGGAUAUGGAAUUAAGGCAUCAAAAGGAAAUAGAAAUGGUGCGCACUGAGAAAAAUUUACUUGAAAAGGAAGUGCGGAGAUUGAAAGAAAAUUCUGAAGAAGAAAAGAAUCGUCAAAAGCAAAUAGUCCUGCUGCUUUUAGCUGAAAGAAAAAAUUAGUCACGAAAUAUAUUGAGGAAAGAAAGCGAUCGGAAGAUCUUGCGCAAGUAAGGACAUCGCUAAAACCUCUUUACAGUUAUGAAGUUUGUAAAAGUUAGGGUGAAACACAUUUUUAAUUGAGGAGCAAUUUUUAGAAAAAUCUUCUGGGAAUUUUCUUUUAAAAUUUCUUGCGCGUCAUUUAUGGAAGGUAGCAAAUAAUCUAUUGUAAGAAUUGAAGUAAUGUAUCAACAUUCACAUGAUAGAGAAUUUUCAAAGAUCUCCCUAAGCUGUAAGGGAGCCAGCACUGAUUGGUGGAGAAAUUUACCUUGAUCGUCAACAUCUAUCAGGUCCUCAAAGUGCUUUUCUGAAUUAUUUAUGAACAAUUUUUAAACAAUCAAACUUUCAAACAAUCUUGUAAUUUUAUGUGUUUUUUAACUGCCAAGAUGAUUUUUCUCGAUUAUUGACCUGGAUAUCAGGUUUGUUACUGACAUUUAUAUGUGCAACCAAGCACCACAGAAAAAAAGAUAAGUAAAGACAUUACUUUGAAAGUCUGCAUUUCAAAGACUUUUAAAAAUCACUUUUCAUCCAUUUUGAUUUUGGGUUUAAGAGAAACUUCCCCUGUAUUAGUCGAAUUAUUCCAAAGCCAGGCAUUCUCUUAGUAUUUAUGUGAAACUUUUGCUGUUUAUUAGGACUACUACUGUCAGAGAGAACCAGGAAAAGUAAGAGGACAAAAACAAAAUAACCCCAAGGUUAGGAGUUCUUGCAUUUAUUAAAGUGGCGAACUACUAUUUGUUGCAGGAAAUGUUUAGUUAGUCUCCCAGCCAGAUAAGUAGUGAAAUCUUGAAUUCACUAGUCAUUUUUCUGAAUGAUCUCAAAAUGAGGGACAUUCUCCAUGAAUUGAUUGAGGAAAACGCCGAAUAGUCAAGGACUUUUAAUCCUACUGACUUAUACUUUUAUACAUUUUUUAAAUUUCAGAUCUUGACCGAAG
rnacentral:lncRNA from 1 species